AUAUUAUGCUCAUUACUUUGGAU
rnacentral:miRNA from 1 species